rnacentral:rRNA from 1 species
GACGGGGCCGCACAAGCGGUGGAGCAUGUGGUUAAUUCGAAGCAACGCGAAGAACCUUACCAGGUCUUGACAUCCCCUGACAACCCAAGAGAUGGCGUUCCCCGUCGGGGGACAGGGUGACAGGUGGUGCAUGGUUGUCGUCAGCUCGUGUCGUGAGAUGUUGGGUUAAGUCCCGCAACGAGCGCAACCCUCGCCUCUAGUUGCCAGCAUUCGGUUGGGCACUCUAGAGGGACUGCCGGCGACAAGUCGGAGGAAGGUGGGAUGACGUCAAAUCAUCAUGCCCCUUAUGACCUGGGCUACACACGUGCUACAAUGGGCGGUACAAAGGGCUGCGAACCCGCGAGGGGGAGCGAAUCCCAAAAAGCCGCUCUCAGUUCGGAUUGCAGGCUGCAACUCGCCUGCAUGAAGCCGGAAUCGCUAGUAAUCGCGGAUCAGCAUGCCGCGGUGAAUACGUUCCCGGGCCUU